GACGGAUGAGUGAUGCCUAGGAAUCUGCCUGGCCUGGGGGGAGACGUUCUGAAACGGACGCUGAUACCAUAUACGUCCUACGGGAGAAAGGAGGGGACCUUCUGGCCUUGCGCUUUCAGAUGAGCCUUAGUCGUAUUAGCUAGUUGGUGGGGUAAUGGCUCACCAGUGCGACCAUCCGUAACUGGUCUGAGAGGAUGAUCAUUCACACUGGAACUGACACACUGUCCAUACUCCUACGGGAGGACUCCUUGGGGAAUAUUGGACAAUGGGCGAAAGCCUGAUCCAGCCAUGCCGCGUGUGUGAAGAAGGUCUUCUGAUUGUAGCUUUCUUUUCGUUGGGAGGAAGGGUUGUAGAUUAAUACUCUGCAAUUUUGACGUUACCGACAGAAUAAGCACCGGCUAACUCUGUGCCAGCACUACCGGUAAUACAGAGGGUGCAAGCGUUAAUCGGAAUUACUGGGCGUAAUUAUUGCGUAUGUGGUUUGUUAAGUUGGAUGUGAAAUCCCCAGGCUCAACCUGGCAACUGCAUUCUGAACUGACUGACUAAACUAUGGAACAUGGUGGUGGAAUUUCCUGUGUAACUUCCAAAUGCAUAGAUGUAAUGAGGAACGCUGUUGACGAACGCGACUGCCUGGACUAAUUCUGUCGCCUGUAACUGAAAGCGAGGCGAGCAAACGUGAUUA
rnacentral:rRNA from 1 species